rnacentral:rRNA from 1 species
ACGGAGUUACAAAGGACGACAUUAGACGAAUCAUCUGGAAAGAUGAAUCAAAGAAGGUAAUAAUCCUGUAGUCGAAAAUGUUGUCUCUCUUGAGUGGAUCCUGAGUACGACGGAGCACGUGAAAUUCCGUCGGAAUCUGGGAGGACCAUCUCCUAAGGCUAAAUACUCUCUAGUGACCGAUAGUGAACCAGUACCGUGAGGGAAAGGUGAAAAGCACCCCGGAAGGGGAGUGAAAUAGAACCUGAAACCGUGUGCUUACAAGUAGUCAGAGCCCGUUAAUGGGUGAUGGCGUGCCUUUUGUAGAAUGAACCGGCGAGUUACGAUUUGAUGCAAGGUUAAGCAGUAAAUGUGGAGCCGUAGCGAAAGCGAGUCUGAAUAGGGCGUUUAGUAUUUGGUCGUAGACCCGAAACCAGGUGAUCUACCCUUGGUCAGGUUGAAGUUCAGGUAACACUGAAUGGAGGACCGAACCGACUUACGUUGAAAAGUGAGCGGAUGAACUGAGGGUAGCGGAGAAAUUCCAAUCGAACCUGGAGAUAGCUGGUUCUCUCCGAAAUAGCUUUAGGGCUAGCCUCAAGUGAUGAUUAUUGGAGGUAGAGCACUGUUUGGACGAGGGGCCCCUCUCGGGUUACCGAAUUCAGACAAACUCCGAAUGCCAAUUAAUUUAACUUGGGAGUCAGAACAUGGGUGAUAAGGUCCGUGUUCGAAAGGGAAACAGCCCAGACCACCAGCUAAGGUCCCAAAAUAUAUGUUAAGUGGAAAAGGAUGUGGCGUUGCCCAGACAACUAGGAUGUUGGCUUAGAAGCAGCCAUCAUUUAAAGAGUGCGUAAUAGCUCACUAGUCGAGUGACACUGCGCCGAAAAUGUACCGGGGCUAAACAUAUUACCGAAGCUGUGGAUUGUCCUUUGGACAAUGGUAGGAGAGCGUUCUAAGGGCGUUGAAGCAUGAUCGUAAGGACAUGUGGAGCGCUUAGAAGUGAGAAUGCCGGUGUGAGUAGCGAAAGACGGGUGAGAAUCCCGUCCACCGAUUGACUAAGGUUUCCAGAGGAAGGCUCGUCCGCUCUGGGUUAGUCGGGUCCUAAGCUGAGGCCGACAGGCGUAGGCGAUGGAUAACAGGUUGAUAUUCCUGUACCACCUAUAAUCGUUUUAAUCGAUGGGGGGACGCAGUAGGAUAGGCGAAGCGUGCGAUUGGAUUGCACGUCUAAGCAGUAAGGCUGAGUAUUAGGCAAAUCCGGUACUCGUUAAGGCUGAGCU